rfam:Bacillus sp. MTM 116 87, whole genome shotgun sequence.
CGGCGAGGCUUCCUGCCCGUUAUCGAUGGGGGCACUCGGUCACACUGUGGGUGGAAGCAUAAUAUUCCUCCUUAGACGCGAGUCGUCAAAAGUGUGAUGUGAGGGUGGGUUAGAUGCCUU